AAAGGGAGACCUAAUUCGGGUAGGAGACGAAAAAAAAGUAGUCGCUACCAAGAAUCAAUCCCAAAAGGUCGGAGCGAGGCGAAAUUGGCUUUCAAACUAGGUUCUGGGUUCAAACAAGACCUGAAUCAGGAACAAGGGCUAUUAGCUCAGGUGGUUAGAGCGCACCCCUGAUAAGGGUGAGGUCCCUGGUUCGAGUCCAGGAUGGCCCACCUGCACAGGUGGCAAAAACAAGAGAAGCGAGGAAUCAGCACCUUAUCUUACUGACAUAGUAAGAGAGAAUGCUGGCUCUGAGUAAAGAGUCCAGAGGAACCUUGAAAACUGCAUAGAGCUAGGUGAAAAAGCCAAAAAAGAAGACCGCAAG
rnacentral:tRNA from 1 species